rnacentral:rRNA from 1 species
CCUACGGGAGGCAGCAGUGGGGAAUAUUGGGCAAUGGGCGAAAGCCUGACCCAGCGACGCCGCGUGAGGGACGAAGGCCUUCGGGUUGUAAACCUCUUUCAGCAGGGAAGAAGCGAAAGUGACGGUACCUGCAGAAGAAGCACCGGCUAACUACGUGCCAGCAGCCGCGGUAAUACGUAGGGUGCAAGCGUUGUCCGGAAUUAUUGGGCGUAAAGAGCUCGUAGGUGGUUUGCCACGUCGGAUGUGAAAACCUGAGGCUUAACCUCAGGCCUGCAUUCGAUACGGGCAGACUAGAGUGUGGUAGGGGAGACUGGAAUUCCUGGUGUAGCGGUGAAAUGCGCAGAUAUCAGGAGGAACACCGGUGGCGAAGGCGGGUCUCUGGGCCAUAACUGACACUGAGGAGCGAAAGCGUGGGGAGCAAACAGGAUUAGAUACCCUGGUAGUCCACGCCGUAAACGGUGGGCACUAGAUGUGGGGACCUUCCACGGUCUCUGCGUCGCNGCUACGCAUAGUGCCCGCCGUCGGGUAGGUACGGCCGGCGACGGACGUAAACCGUACAACUAGAAGUUAGACGGCGUGAGACGUGCCGACGGACGACGACGAGGGAGGUAGG